rnacentral:misc_RNA from 1 species
AACGGUCUAUACCUGCGGUACCUGCGGAAGGAUCAUUAGCGAAGAGCAAGCGCCCUCCCAGGCCUUCUCCGAGCCCCUCGACCCUGCGAACAGUACCGGAAGUUGCCUCGGCGCCCCCGCGCGCCGGCGGCCCCUCAACUCUCUCCCAGCGCAGGACUCUCUGACUUGUACCACAAACGAAUAAAAACUUUUAACAAUGGAUCUCU